GGGCAAUGAGAAGGGAUUGGAGAGAGGAUGGCCUGAAGAAGUAGCGAAUGGGGGGAGGAGAAACACUCCUCUGACUCAGAACUGGUGAGCAAGAGUCAGUCAUCGGCUUGUGUUCUGGGAAAAAUGGAGGUUCUUCUUUUGAGCCUAGAGAUGAAAAGACAGCCUGGGACCAUAGGCAGAGAAAACUUGUUGAAACUAAGGAAGGCAAUGCAAUGACUUUCCCAGACAUGGGAAUCCCCAGGCAAGGCAGACACAAUCCAGCCUGCAGCAUCGUCCAGCUGGGACAGGGGUAAUAUCUUCGUGAUCUCGUCUUGGCAUUAGAUCGACGCUGACCUUUCUAGACGUCUUCACUGACCAGGAACUGUGGAAGGGGUUCUCUCGCUCCUCAUCCAUGCACAACGGCGGCAGCUGUAGCAUCAUGCUGCAGGACCUUGUGGAAAGGAUCUGCAGGCACAGCUGUCAGCAACCCAGCGGAGGUCCCCAUUCUCAUGGAGCUUAAGAGCUGGUUGGGGGAACUAGGUGUUAGCAGAUGCCGACUCCAGAGGGUGUUCGACAGAUGCCUUCUGAGGUAGGUCCUCGAGGAGCAGAGCAGUCCUGGGUCUUCAGGGAAGUGGCUCCGAGAGUCGUGAAUCAGGCUGACCCUACAGACGGCGGCACUCAGUCAGACUACAUCCACUCCCACAGGGAGCUAAGGGAUGGUGGAGAAGGCUGUGUUUUUCAACAAAGUUUGAAGAGACAGCUUUUUAAUUUCAAAAUACAAUUGUUGCACGUUUAAAUUUUCUCAAGGGGAAGGAAAAGCUCCAUGAAGCGGUGUUUGGUAAAACAUCUUCCAUGAUCCCCUCCCCACCACCCUACCCUGGCGGCUGUGGAGUCAGAGUGAGCAUGGCUCCCUGCUUUCCAUCCACGGGGGAUGCAAGGCCAUAGACAAGUGUGUCUUCUGGCCCCAGGACUCUUGAAUAUUUUGGCACAUUUUCACUGUCUCUGGGAAACAAGCCUAAUGACACACUCAGUAGAGAUUGUCAAGCGCAUUAUAGAGACAGGAUGGAAUGCAAAGUAAAGUGUGCUUUCCCGGGCCAGCUCCUGGGAACACGACUCGAAUAAGAAAUUCCUGGUGAGAACUGGCCUUUUCCCAUCUCUCCUUUUUCUUUAGCAUUCUUUGCUCACUCUUCAACUAUUUAAGACUAGAUUAUAACAACGUUCUGGUAAAUUCAAGACAUACUUUGCAAAGAGUGCAAACAAAAUUGAACUUACUCAUCCUUCAGCAGCCAUGGGUAUCAAAUUUUUGUCUGGCAAAUCAUAAUAAUUUUAAAACAAAUUAGACAUCUUGGUUCUCCCAUUUCCUUUCUCAGACUGACAAAUCAUUAAAAAAUUCCUUUGAAUAGACUGCUUUAAAAUAUUCUUCUGAUAAGCAGGGGUCUCCUCCUGCCAGGCACCACCAGGCAAGUCACCCACCGCCGGCGCCUUGCGGGCGCCAUGGGCCACACGCAGCAAUUUCACUGUGGGCUCUCUGUCUUGGCUUGGGCCAUUACUCCGGACUUCGUUUUUGCUUAAACUUUCCAUUUCCUAUUGCCUGUGACGACAUAUCAUUAUUUACCACCUAUGAUUUCUAGUUUGUUCAAAAUUCCUGUGGAGGUGAGAGGGAGUUAAUGGGUGUAUUUAGGGACCUAACAGAAGAGCUGCUUCCUCCUGAGCCUCCGUGGGGAGCUGGGGGUCCUUGACUUUAUGCUGUAGACCAAGAUAAAGCCAUUCACACAGCCCAUGUGGCCUCAUUAAGAGCAUUUUAUCAGUUUGUGUGCCAGAUGAGGAAACGCUUCUGAUGUGACUGGAAAGUAAUAAAAUUUGACUCUUAUUCCCUAAGAUUGGGAAUAAAGAGAAAGAUAGCUGACAAAGAGAACAGUAAAGGCCAUCAGGUCUGACACAACCUAAAAAUAGAGAAAUGGUCAUUCUGAGGACCAGCUUGAAGGGCCGGAGGCACUGCUCAUGGAGGAAGCCGUGUGCCAGCUGGAAGGAUCAACCGUGAUAGAUUGUAUGAGGACCCAUGGAGGCCCUCUUAAUGGAAGAGCUAUGUGACCUCCAUCCCACUCUUAAUUGUAGCACGUUCUUGGCUAUUGACAGCAUCACAGCUUAAGUGUGGGAGGCUGGCUCGAAAGGCCAGUCUGGCCCAUGCAGGGUCUGCUGGAUUCGUCUCUGAGUUUGGAUGCUGGAGCCUUGCCCUGGUCCUCGGUGUCAUGGCGACUGCUCGGCGUUCACCCUGAAUGCUGACCCUAUUGGAAGGUCUCCCCUACUUGCUGAAAGCUGAAGGAGCCCAGUCCACACAGAUCUUCAGAUCCGCCGUAACAUCCUUAUAAGAACAUACCCUUAAAUCCCAUGUUGAAAUCAUUCCUAGAUUUCAUUUUUGGGUGUGGAAUAUUGAUAAUUGAUUUACUCAUUUCAGAAAGGGACCGACUCCCUCAAUCCUGGCAGCCUGUGGCUUUUCACCCAUGCUCACAUGGGAUCCCCCUCAUGUGGGUGACUUCAUCGCUGUUAUCAUCACAAUACCCAGUUAGUAUUAUCUGUGCCCAGCACUGUACCAACCACAUCACCCCAGACUUCAUUUUCUCUUCACAGCUCCUCUCCGGCGUUGGUCCACUGAGUUUCACUAAAUCAUGGAUGAGGAACUAAGGUACAGAGUGGUUAGUUAACUUGCCCGAGACGUCGCAUUUAGUCUGUGCUGGAUCCUAAACCUGAGCUCCCGUUUAAGGAGCAGUGCCAUGCAGCUCAGGGACUUCUGCCUCUGGCUCUCCUGGAAGUCUGCGCUCAGCUCUUACUCAAAUGUGGGAUCUGAGAAAGUUCCCCCACUUCUCUGAGCUUCAGUUCCAUCAUCAAGGAAGGCGGAACGAUGAUAGAACCGGAAAAAAUCUACGUGAAGUCAUUGACACAGAACCUGGCACAUGGGAUGCACUCAGUGGAUAUUCUCCACCAUUCUGCUCUGCUCUGCUGUCUAUAAAAUGCUUUUGUGACCUAUGUCUAUACUAGGUAGCAGAUAGAUAGCGAUGAAAGAUAGAUAAUAAAUAGACAGAUAGAUAGAUAGGUAAUUUUACCCUCCCCUCCUUAGCCAGACUGGAAUCAUAAGGGCCAAGGAAUAUUACCUUUGUUUAUAUUCCCACACAUGAUUUCUGUACUUACUUCUCAGGAAAUGGGUAAUGGGUAAAUGUAUUUUUAUCUUCUUACUGAUUACUAUCUCAACUAUCUCAGGCUGGUUAUGAAAUACUUUCUACAUUAAGGAGGGCCUCGCUGCAGGACUGCAGGCCUACUGUGAGGUGCUGGAUUUGCCCCAAAGAGGACUGCAUUAGUCAGGUUCUCCAGAGAAACAGAACCAACGGGAUGUAUAUGGACAUAUAUAAGAGGUGAUUUAUUAUAGGAGUUGGUUCACGUGGUUAUGAAGGCUGAGAAUUCCAUGAUAUGGGGCCUGCAAGCUGGAGGCCCAGGAAAGCUGGUGGUAUAACUCAGUCAGAGUCCUAAGGCCCAAGAACCAGGACCACUGAUGUCUGAGGGCAGGAGAAGAUGGACAUCCAAGCUCAAGAAGAGAAGGAGAGGAAUUUGCCCUUCCUUCACCUUUUUUGUCCUACUGGGGCCCUCAAAGGAUUGGAUGAGGCCCACCUGCAUUGGUGAGGACGAUCUUCUUUACUCGGUCAUCUGAUUUAAAUGUUUCCAUCCAGAAACACCCCCACAGCACACCCGGAAAUCAUGUUUAAGCAGCUGGCUGGGUGUUCCUCAAUCCAGUCAAGUUUACACAUAGAAUUGCCUUCACAAGUACUUAGUAGAGCGUGGCUGAUCAUGACUCCCUUGGAGAGCCACCUGUUUCUGGUGGUCAUUAACACACAGUAAUCAGGUCAUCUGUGCAGUCUGAACCUUUACCCUUCAAACGGCCUCAACUGGGAUUUCCUGGGUCUUCUUUAAGGAUGAAGGAGGGGAGCCCACCUUGACCAACCCGCAUUGCAUCAGAGCAACGUGAACGCCAGCACCAAUGAGCCAGCCUCCAACCUGUCAAGACUUUUCGAGAUUUUAAGUUGAGGACACAGAAAUAAAGCACGAGAAUAUACAAUAAGGGUAUUUUUUUUUUUAAAGAAAAGGGUUUAUAUCUGAAGACACAAGUAAAAUGCUACACUUUGACUCUUCAACCACUUAAAUUUUAAAUAUACAAGGAAAAUUGGCAUCGUUUUAGAUCCAAUUUAUUCUCCGUGAACUUUGAGCACAUCACACAGUGAAACUAUCCCCUGGGCCUGCACUGAGUCAAUCUCCUCCUUUUAAGUAUUGAGCUAAGAAAGCAUGAGAACCCAAAAGAACCCUUUCAGAAUCAACCAACAGUAGAAGGGGCUUUGGUAAGAAAAAGUGAGCCAAAAAUGAAUAAAGUUGAAUGUAAUACCCACUAAUGAGCCAAAGGCCUUAAGUCUACAUGAAGGCAAAGUAGAAGGACACUGACAGGAGUACACCAGCGUUGGCCUGGCCAUUGGGGACAUUUUUAUUAAUAGAUCAGAGAAGACUUUAAUUUGCACCAACUGACACACUAUGAAAUGAGUAUUGGAUGAGGUAUCUCUAAUUCCGUAAGAGAACACAAUUUUUAGGAUCCUUUUAAGUUAACGUAUUUGCAUCGACAAUCAUACCUCUUUGUGAACGUGUAACACCGAAAAGAAAAAAUAAUUUAGAAUUCUUACUUCCAAAAUUUGAACAUGAUUAAUUUUUAUUAAUAUAGGGGCUUAUAAAGUAAGGAAUAGAUUUCUAUUAUUUUUAAAAACAAGCAAGAUUUAAGCUGAGAUCCUGUCAUGAGUUAAAAACGCAAUAGGACGUUGGAAAGGCAGACCCCGUUUCUCUAGCCGGAUGCCCACUUAUGUUUCGAGGGGCAGCACCCAUGGCUGGCGUCACAUGGCUUCUUGCAAGCGUCAGCCUGUUCUGAUGCAUCUGAAGACGCACCUUUUCCUUUAUAACCACUGAGUUGUUUGUUAACAUUUAUCCAUGUCUCAUAGGUGUGCAGGCCACCGAGCCAGGCCCAGGGUCAGUUCUCUGCUUUUUAUUUAAAGACAGAUAUGAGAAAUGAAUAGAAGAGUUUUAGAAAAUGCAAUGCUAUGCCUUUUCUCAAACAACCUGAAAUCUUGACGAGUCACAUUUUAUAAAAAAUAAGAAAGCAACCCUAAACCACAAAUCUCAUGAAUUUAUAGCAAAUGCUCUUCUAAACUCCGUAAUUGGAAAAUAGAGCAGUUAUUUCUACUGAGUAACUUUCAAAAAGCAUCAGUAGGAAGAUCACUAAUAUGUCAUUUAAGUGGAAGAAUAAACAGUGUUUUGUUUCUCACAGCCCCCUGGUCAUCAUUCAGUGGGCUUCCCAGUAGCUCCUUCUAGCUGUGAGGUCAGUUUGCCCUUGGCCCCCACAUCUUCCUCUGAUGGUAAUGCCCCUUCCCUCUGACACAUCGGUGUCUGAGUCGAGUUGUAGGUAGAGGGGUUUCUAAGAAGGGUUGUAACAGGAUCUAACACAGGGUCCCCUGAGAUGGGAGGAGAGAAUGGAGAUUCCUCUCCUAGCACUGUAUGUGGCUCAGAGCACUCAAUAACUGUCAGCACUGGUCCAGUCCCACAGCUGUUAGAUGGGGACACAGGCUCCGAGAGGCCCUGGUUUGGCCAGGGUCACACGUGCCCACUGCUGCCUCCCCUGCUUGGGCAGCUGUCAUGUGGUGGAAGGAACCACACAGCCUGUGGCCACUGAGCCACUUUAUUCUUCCAUUUGUCUCUGCGACUCACGAUAGCACACCACGAAAGAUCAAAGAAAAUAAGUUAAAUAAAAAUACAGCCCAUGGAUUCCUUUCUGGAGAACGUUAUGUGUAUUCUUCCUGUGCCUUCAGAGACUCCUGUUUGCCAUGUUAAUCUUUCCCCACUUUUCUUAGAAAAAUAUGGUGCAGGUGCCCGUGCAGAUGGAAGCUGCCUGGAGCAGGUGAGCUGCAUGUUUGAGAAUCAGCCCCUCCCAGGUAGGAGCCCUGGCACUCCUCAGGACAGACACUUAGGCUCCAGGACCUCAAGGUUGGGGGAAAGACCAAAUCUAAACAUUGCUGGUGCUACAACUACCACCACCCACCCCUCCCAGAGAGACCAGGCUUGAGUCCUUCUGGGUCAGCACGCCCCCUGGCUGUGGGGUUUUGUUCUGGAUCCUGUGGAUCGGUUCAUAGCAUGGCCCUUUGCCGGCCGUGUCCUCUUCAUGUGGUCAGCCAGUGGGGACACGCACCCUCCUGGUGGCCUGCCUGGGGCUCUGAGAAUCUUGGAUCACCUUCAAAAUGCACUCAAAUCAUUUUUGGCUCCUUCCUGUGUUCAGUCAACACAAAUAAGCCUUGGAAGGCCCAGCACGGUGUGCCCAGCUGUGCAUCAGAGGAAAGUUGAUAAAUAAAUACGAUGCCACCACCGGAGAAAAUGUCCAAAUUGGUCAGAAAGACCAAGAAAUAGGAAAGUGUGAUAAAUUCUGUUUGUGAGUGUACAAAGUAAAAGGCACAGCUCAGGAGGAAGCAGCUCCUCAUAAAGUGACAGCUGUGAGGAUGUUGAAACUGUGAGGAGAAGAGGCUCAGGAGGGUGGGACUGUGGGCUCCUGCGGGACUGUGGGAAGGGGGGUUCUGUGGAGGGCUGGGAACACAAGGGAUGUGCAUGGCUGAAGGAUGGUCCGUGGCGGCCACACAGAAUCGGACACAAUUGCAUUUGCCCUGGUUCUACUGGUUAAUGGCUGUAUGACUCAAGGAAAUAAUAUGACCCCUCUGGGCCUCCGUGUCUUCAUCUAUGACUGGAAAUACAAAUGCCUACUUGCAGUUGGAUGUAAGGACUCAAAUGGGAAGCACUUGGCACAGCAGUCAUGGCGGCAGACAGUGUCAUUCGAUGAGUGGUAGCGAUAGCUGUCAUUGCUUCACCAACAAACCUGCAUGUGUUUACUUCUGUUGAAUGUAUUCAUGGUUCCAGGUGCUCAGAAUUUAUCAGUUAAAAUAUCCAUAAAGAUCCUGGGUAGAAUUCCCUGUACAGUUUACAUUCUACAAGCAGAAACAGCCAAAGAGAAUAAACAUAAGUAAGCAAACUGCACGGUAUGUUAUUAGGUGGUGAGUGCCUUGGAGAAUCCUUUCUGGGGGGAGGAGGAGAGAGAGUGCGUGAGGAGGUGCUGGAGAGAGUAAAUGCACCAUCAGGGGAUGCCUUCCUGGGAAGGGGAUGUGAGGAUGUGAGAGGCAGCCAUGCGCACAUCUGGAGGAAGAGAGCUGAGACAGAGGAGAAGGGAGUGAUCGAGUACGGUAAAUGCUGCUUGUAGAUCAAGAAAGAUUAAGUCUGAAACUAAUCAUUGGGUUUAGCUAGGUCACGGCAUUGGCAGCAGUGAGAGGAGCAGGUUCAGUGGGGUGGUGAGGCUGGAAGUCUGGACUGGGGUAAGAGAGGAUUGAGGAGAGAAACUCGUGAUGGCAAGAGGACAUAGCAGUUCCAGGAGAUUCACUGCAAAGGGGAGGUGAGAAAUGGGAAGGUAGCUGGCAAGAAAGUGUGGUCCAAAGGAAUGUUCUGUUCUGUUUUGUUUUGAUUGUGUCUUAAAAUGGGACAGAUAACAGCAUGUGUGCUUGCUGAUGGGAAAAAUCCAGCAGAAAAACAAUGAUGCAGGGAAAAAAAGCAGAGAUUUAUUGGAGGAACACUGUUGAGAGGGCAAGAUGAAAUAGGGUCUCAUGCACAAGGAAAGGGAUCUGCUUUUGAUCAGGACAAGGACACUUCAUCAUGGUUAUCAGGGAGGAAGGAAGGAUUCAGGGGUACAGAUGCUGUGAGAUAAGUGGAUAUGACAGUGGGAGCAGGUGGGGGCUUUCUCCAGAUUUCUUCAAGUUUCUCAGAGAACAGGAGAGUGGCGCUGGCAGCUGAGAGCGAGGAUGAGGUCAGAACGGCUGUAGACUGAGGAGAGAGGAGAAAGCACAAAGUAGUAACCUAGGAAAUUGGGAGGGUGAAUGGACAAGGGAGAUGGAGUCUGGCCAAUGGGUGGCGCUGAGCUCCCUGCUGGGGUUGGCGUUUAUGCUCCAGGGUUUUGAGAGCUUUUCACCAGCUGUGGUCAGUCGCAUAAUUGCAGACAUGGAGUUGGAAGAGAGAGUGGUUUAAUCAGAGUCCUGAUUUAACCAAGCAAGUCAACAAAGCAAGAGAGAUCCAAAAGCGUUGAGAUUGCAGGAAAGGCGGUGUUUCACGGAAAUUAAAUAGGGUAAGAUUGGGAGACUGGACAUCAGGAGGAUGGGUGACUGACCCCAAAGUGGUGAUAAGGGUCAACAGACCAGAGGUCUCAGUAAGACCAAAGGAGUGUUGGCACACCUGACCAGAGGGAAUGAGCUGGAAAUAUGGGGGACGGGUUGAUGACUGGGGCACAGAAACUGAGAUUGUGAGGGGGCUGUAGCUGUUGACAAUGACAAAGAUGUGACCAUGCAACAUAGUGCUGAGGCAGCUGGAGGACAAGACGCUGAGUCCAAGAAAUUGAAAGCCAGGGUAUUAUAAAGAGGAUGCACGCGGUUAGUGAAACUGCCAAGAAAUUUUACGAGUCAGUAUUGGGUGGUCACAUGGGUUGUUAUUCUUUCUAGCUUAUUGCUUUAGCAGAUGUGAAAGUCCCCUCCCUCACAGUGUGUCCCGUGGGGUCACAGAGAGGAAGGUGGGGGAGUCCCAGAAAUCAACAUCUUUUGUGGACUGAAUUGUAUCUUCCCCAAAUCCAUAUGUUGAAGCCCUAACUCCCAUUGCUACUCUAUUUGGAGAUGGGGCCUUUAAGGAGGUAAUUAAGGUCAAGCGAGAUCAUGAAGGUGGAGCCCUGAUUCAAUAGGGCUGGUGCCCCUAUAAGACGAGGAAGCACUCUCUCUCUCUUUCCACACACGCACUGAGCACAUGGAGAAAAGGUGGCCGUCUGCAAGCCAGGAAGAGAGGCCUCACCAGAAACCAACACCACUGGCAUCUUGAUCUUGAACUUCCAGCCUCCAGAACUAUGAGAACAAAUGUCCCUGGCUGUGGUGUUUCCUUACGGCAGCCCGAGCCAAGUCAGCAUCUCUCUUUGAUCCCUGACUUCAGGUCACUGACUUGGGUUCUCUCUUCAGUUUGGAUGAUUAACUACUCCGAACCUGUAAUUCAGACCACAGGCUUCAGAAGACCUUGGCUCUGGAGAGAGGGAAAUACUCACCAAAACAACCAAACAACCAUGCUCCAGCUCUCCAGGUGCGGCCAGACCACCCUGAUGGUGUGAAGCAUCUUUCGACUCUCUGGCUAUUGAAUCAGGAAGAGUUGUGAACGAGUGCCACUCUGAGGUCGUACAGUGUGGACACCACAUGCUGCAGCUUCCGUCUGAAGCUGAGCUGGACUCGGAUCCCGGCUCCUCUCCUUCCUAUCUUGUGACUUCUGAGAACACGGCUUUUCUUUCUCAAUUUUAAGAUCCUGGAAGUGGGAGCACCUGUCUCGUUAACCUCAUAUGAAGAUGAAAUGAGAUGGUAGGGGGGUAACUUCUUGUCACACACAGGGCCUGGAAUAUUGCAAACCCUUUGUUUCAUUGGGAUACAGGCUUGGCUGGUGUGACAAGGGCACCAAAAAUGCAGAUUCCCAAGCAAAAUAGAUGGCUAGUUGUCUCCCACAUCAUUAUCCCCAGGAAGACAGCUGGUCCCCCAGUGGGUGGGCAGUUCUGCUUUACCAGGUCAUCAGGGUACCAAGUUUGUGUUCUGACAUUCUUCAGCAUGCGAUUCUCAAAGCUGCUCGUCAGCAUCAUGCCCAAAUUCCAGUCCACAGGAAGAGGAGGCGAAUUGAGCACAGACACAGAGGACCAGCACGUUGCUUUUACAUGUGUAGACAUGACACACACUUCUGCUCAAAUCGCAUCUGGAAGAAAUUAACCAACGGUCCCACUUAGCUGCCAGGAGGCUAUGACGGUGGUGGUCACAUCUCUGCUAAAUUCAGGUAGGAGGCAGAGGGGGAGGGUCCCAUGACUACAAGGAAGGAGGGAUAUCCCAAGACAGUUAUUCAUCUUGUUAUGGAUAUUUAGAAAUGUUGCACACCUGUAUUUCUUACUUUUCUCAUUACAAGGUGAUUCAUGGGAGAUGUCCAAGAACACAAGUACAUUUUUCUCAAAACACAGUUCUUUUCUUGGAGAAUGACUCAGACACUUCCUCCCAGGGACACGAUGCUGUGGCUGGUGCUCUGUUCUUGUUGUGAUCUUAGGAAAGUCUACAGAAAAGGUGCAGCCGAGAGACUGCUCCUUUGUAACACGCAGUAGCAGAAAGUAUACCAAAGGAAAGGACAUCAUCAACACCCACGACCAUAUCUUGUCUUUGCGUUACGGAUUCUGGGAGCUUUUGUGGACUUCUGGAAAAACGAUCACUAUUGCUGGAUUCUUUUUUUCAAUGGAAAAUAAUUAACGUUAAUUGCUAAACAACUUCCCGACAUUGGUAGCAUGAUUCAGCUCUGAAUUUCCAGGAGCCAUUAUGAGAAUUGGGUAGACUCUUCUCUUUGAAAACUUGCGUUAGUUGUGGAUUCCUUGCUUCAGACAGAAUGAACCUUGUCUAAUGGUGCUGAGUCUCCAACCACUGCACGUUUUCAAACGUUGACUAAUUACCGAGGGUGUAAACAGUUUUAAUGACCCGUUGGCCAAGGUGACCUCUGAACUUCGGUAGUUCAGGGAUGUCUGUGUCUCCUAAGGUAUAGUCUGAAAACUCUUGCAAGCCUGCUAGGAACAAAGACUUCCCAACAGCAUCCUGGCUUAUGAGUAUAAAUCCUCAGCACUCUCCACAGGAGUGUGACAUUACUGAAUAAUCUGUCACCUUCAAACCAGCCACAAAGAAAGUUCCAGGCUGUCCUUUAGAAAGAGGGUCAGCAGAACAAUUGCUUUGGGUUAACUUUGGGUUUGGAGUGUUGCAAACCAUCCAUUAUCUGUUAGACUGUGAUUUUAAUUGUCCAUCAUCUGUGUUUGAGUUUGUAUAGCUUCACACUGUCAAAGCUGAUGGCUGUGUUUUUCCUCUUUCUUUUUGGAGGUCCCAAGAGAGUCAGUGGGGAGCGUGGCUGUCUGAGCCCACAUCCCCCAGCGGAUGCUGCUCUCUGCUCUCGGCUGCCUGGUCUCCAGCGGCUGCCACGUUGCUAGAACUUCUGGCAGCAGGAGGUUGAAACCCACGUCUGCUGGCGCCAGUCCCAGAGCUACAGGAAGUCUCCAAAUGUUUUUUUUUUUUCUUAACAGACAAAAAAAUUUUUGACUCGGGAAUGAUUUCCAGGAAUUACAGUAUGAGAUCUUAGUCUGUGAGAUUUUAAUUUUCUUCUUAAGAAAAUCAAAAUGAAAUCAACCAGACUGAACACACCACGGGCGGGCACAUUUCACUUUGUAACGAACAGUGAACGUUUUCCCCUUCACCUCCCUCGGAGCGGGAGGAUGAGUUUAAUAGCUUUUCCUCAGCGGAGAGCGAGAGGAGGGAGGUAACGCUGGAUCAGAGGGGCAGGGAGGCCCUGGGAAAGGCCAUUUCUCUGCUUUCUUCUCAGAGCUCUGUCGCUGCCAGAAGGUUCUGAGCAUUGCCCCUCCUCUUCUCUCUCGAGAUCAUGGUCCUCCCUCAGGACGAGCGGGAAAGGCUCAGCAAGCCAUUCAGUCCUCAGGGAAAGUUCCGUGCUGCCUUGAUCAGGAAGGAGAUGGGGAUGGGGCUGUCCAGGUGGUGUCAGGCUCAGAGGAGGCAGGGCCUUUGGUACGUGUCACACCCACGAGGAAUCUGAGAAACCCACACGGUCGCCUGUCACGUUUCCGUCUCUGACUGACCCUGUGUGCAUUCAGAGUCGGUUAAAGGAGCUCGGUCCAUCUGGUCAUCAAUGAUGACGUGGUCUCUGACUGUGACUUCAGACAGGUGCUGUGCCCUCUGAGGACAUCCCUAUCAGGCCCGUGGGGUGAAUACACUGGCCUCACUGCUUUGACACGAAUCUGUGAACACGUGAGACCCAAGGAAGAUUAGCCCUGAGCUAACUGCUGCCAAUCCUCCUCUUUUUGCUGAGGAAGGCUGGCCCUGAGCCAACAUCCGUGCCCAUCUUCCUCCACCCUACAUGUGGGAUGCCCACCACAGCAUGGAUGGUGUGCCAAGCGGUGCCAUGUCCUCACCAGGGAUCCGAACCGGUGAACCCCAGGCCGUGAUAAGCGGAACACGUGCACUCAACCACUGCACCACCAGGCUGGCCCCUAUUAACACGUUUUUAAUUGGAGGAAAAGCCAUGGAAGGUUAGCUUGGGGAUGGUCUCAGUGAUAACAAUGCUGAGUUGUUGACCCAGUAUCAUGGCCUCGGGUUGCCUGUCCCCAUCUGCUUCCUUGGAGGCCAGAGCUUCAGCUCCUCUGUCUGCAUCUUAAGUAAAGCUGCUCCCCUCCCCUUGCCUUCAUGUUCUCCAGCCCCAGCUGGUCCUGCUGGCUCUCACCCUCACUCUCUGGAGCCUCGAGGUCUAAGCUGCAUGGCAGAUAUGAUCACGGAAGCGGAAGCUGGUUUUGAGAGAAAUGAUAGAAAGGCUGGCACAUUGCUACUGAUUGUCUGGAGGCCAUGGAGAGAAAAAAAGGUGAAAGAUGUAACAUAACCUUGAACUUGAGAACUUGGAGGGGUGGGAGGCUGUGUCCCACUGAACAGGUCUUGGAAACAGAAGGUCUUUUCGUGCAGGAAGAAUAAAAAGCUGUUGACUACUGAGAAGCCACCUUGGCAGCAGCCACAGAUGCAGAGCAGAGCCAAGUGACAUGCAGUCGAUGUAUAAAAGAAUUCGUGGACGUUUUAUGUAAGACUAUCCCAUUUCCGCUGAUGAUAGAGGCACGCAAAGAGGCAGCUUACGUUGAAGACUUCAUUUUAGAAUCCCUUGGCCAUCUUUUCUCCAAAUCUGAAAUCCCUUUCCUUUCUGGAGCAUACCCAAGGAGAAACUCCUAAUGAAUCGUAUCAUGUGCUGUUCUGACUCCUCGCCACGAAACACAAAGAUCUCUUGUAGCCACGUGUACAGAUGGUGGUUAAUUCAGGAAAUGAAGAAAGACAGCUUGCUCCUGCUACGGUGAAUAAUGUCUUUGUUAUUUCAUUUCUGAAGGAGGCAGAUUAUUCCAUUGUGUUUUGAUGAAAUAGAUGAUCUUUCCACUUUUAUGAGAAUGAAAUAAACAAUUCUGGGGCUUAAAAAGUCUCCUGUUUAUAUAUCAGUUUCUGCCGAAGACUUUGAAGAAGUGGAUUGCGGGGUGUGGUAUGUCUCUCCCUGCCCUCUGCAAACACAGGGCCUGCGUUUUUCCUGGGGUGAAGAGCCCCAUGGCUUCACUCUGGGGUCCAAUUCAGAAUGCAGGCUUUAACUCUUCAGAGCAACGAUCUCCUGUGUGUGUAGAAGGCUUCCAGGACUUGUAAACAUCUUUCUGCGUCAGCACCAGGGCUGUGGGCACAUGUGAAACUGUGGUUGAUCCUGCCUGUGGAUUGCAGAUACCAGAACAAAAUAGAAUAUUCUGUCUCUUAUGGAGAAUCCGCUGUUCACAUUUUUGUUUAGAAACCAAGUUUUGGUUUGGUUCAGUGAUUCUAAAGCAUUUCAGAGACAACAACUGCCAUGAAGUAUGAGCUUGUGAUCCUUACUCCUUCUGAUGUAGCUUAAGGUUUCUCCCCUUCUUUAUGGACUAUGAUUUUGCGUAUCAUUUUAAAAUGGGAUAAGCAUAACAUUUAGGAUUAAAUUGCUGAUUAUUUACAUACGUGGCUUAGUGAGAGUAUCUGAGAUGGGGCUUGUUUAGCAUGAAUUGUCUCAGUUCAUGAUUCCACCUAUGAUUGUGUAGUGCAUUUAUUCAUUUACUAACAAAUCCUGUACCACUUUCACUUUUAAGUUAAUUAACAUAUAUUUAUUCUAGGAAAUGGGGAUAUAGCAGUGACCCAACCAGGCAGAAUCUCGUUACUGUAGAGUUUACUUUCUAGUGGGGAGAUACAUGAUAAAAACAUAUGUAACAUGAUAUCAGGUGCUACCAUAGAGAAAGAGAAAAUCUGGAGGUGGGGCAGAGAGAACAGACAAGGACAUGUUGCUUCAGGAGAAAGCCUGGUCCAUGGGGACCUGAGCCACAGGAGGAAGGGAGCCAGCCACCUGCAUGGGUGCAAACCCCUGGGUGUAGGCCCUGAAGGUGGAUGAAUUAGAUGCAGAAACUUAAACCGUGUCCUAUCAUUUUACUUUAUUUUUUUGAGGAAGAUUAGCCCUGAGCUAACAUUUGUGCCCGUCUUCCUCUAUUUUACAUGUGGGACACCUGCCACAGCUUGGCUUGCUAAGUGCUGCAGAGGUCCACGCCCAGGAUCCGAACCAGCGAACCCCGUGCCACCAAAACGGAGCAUACUAAGUUAACCUCUAUUUGACUGGGCCAGCCCCUAAACCAUGUCUUAUUAUUAACUUUGUGCUUUGCAUAAGCAAUCCUGAUGUGUUAUCAUAAGAUUUAUUGAUUUAUUUUUAAAGACUGGCCCUGAGCUAACAUCUGUUGCCAAUCUUUGUUGUUUUUCUUUCCUCUUCUCCCCAAAGCCCCCCAGUAUAUAGCUGUAUAUUCUAGUUGUGGGUCCUUGUGGUUGUGUUAUGGGGGACGCCACCUCAGCAUGGCUUGAUGAGCGAUGCCAUGCUUGUGCCCAGAAACCGAACCGGCAAACCCUUGGGCCACCGAAGUGGAGCAUGUGAAUGUAACCACUCAGCCAUGGGGCCAGACUCCAUCAUAAGAUUUAAACUCUAUUUCCUAUAAAACACAAAGAAAAUAAGUUCUAAACUGACAUUUUAAUAAAAACCAACUCCAGAAGGUAACCCGCUCUUCCUUCCUGAAUAUAUUGCCAUGACUCUCCUGCAAGAUGAAUUCUCCACUUUUAAAUCUAACACAAAAUGGAGAAUAGAACUGGGGAUAAAUUCCUGUUUGCCAAUAAAUGAAAAAUUCAUAAUUUUGUUUAGAAAAAUCUGCAUUAUGAAAUUCCGGUGUGCAAUCCAGUAACCAUGAUCCCCAGCCCCAGUGUGAGAUCAGCGGGUAGAGACGGAAAGCAUGCAGAGGGCCCUGUGACUCCCUGUGCGAGAGUGCAGCAGGACCUGACCAGGUGGGAAGCGUUUUCCAGAUCGCUGUGACCUGGUCUGCCUGGUGGAGAGCAAACGCUAGAAGAAAUAUUUACAGAGAUACAGGGAGAGACUAUACGUGACUUACCCCAGUGAAGUAGUUACUUCCACUUGGUUGGGAUUUAGAAUCAUUUGUGGGGAGAGCAUGCUGUAAAAGACAACACAUAAAGAGUUUUAGGAGAAGAUGUCCAUUUCUUUCAAGAUGUUUUGAUUCUUUGUAACAUAGAGGCUGUCUAGGAUAUCGUCUUAAUUUCCUCUUUCAUCUUUAGAAUUAAAAUACCUUAAAGAGAAUAGUGACAGCUGAUAGACCCAGCUGCAUGACUCUUAAUGGUUAGUCUCUGCCUUAUUUUCCUAUUCUUUCCACAGCUGGUCCCAGUAGCUUUAUAAACCUCUUAGCUCUCUCCUUAAAGUGUAAUAGUAAAAGCGAUGUUUGUCAAUUGAAAUGUGUUUCUUCUGAUCAGCUAAUUCAAUUCAACUUCUUCAAAAUGUGAAUUUAAUAAAAUGUAAAGUAUCUAUUACAAAUGUUGUGAAAUUAAUUUAUUUUGCAUAACAUAAAUAUAGUGAAAAGUAUCUUCAAUAUGUGC
rnacentral:lncRNA from 1 species